rnacentral:sRNA from 1 species
ACCUAAACCCGAUAGCAGCGAAAAACCCGCAGCGCAGCGAGGAUUUGGAGCAAAUAGCGGGAACAUGC